rnacentral:lncRNA from 1 species
AAGACAGCUGUGUCCUACCUGUAGAUCUUUCUUUUCAGAAGUACGUGUGUUUAUGGGCAGAGGAUGCUGUCAGGCAGGUCUGGAGCUGAGGAUCGCUGCGUGAAGCACAGCGUCAUCGAGAAUGCAAGACAGUCAUCAUCUGGAUGAAGGCUUCUGUUUCUGUGCCCAACCCCUGCCCUCCUGGAAAUGAAAUGCUUGGCACUCUUCCAUCCAUGCUGAAGAUCUCUGGUGGUGUCCACCAGCCUAGGUAACUUAUAACUCUGUAUAUCUUCACAAUGCUAGGUCCAUUCUGGGUAUCUUCACUUGGAUGUCCUAUGGGUCCUGCAAAUAUGUUUAAAAUUGACCUCCCUCUGCACCUCCCCAAACUCCUUCUUUAUAUGCGUUUCCCGGUUCAGUGAUUUCAUCAUCUUCCCAGCCUCCCAAGCUAGACACUGCAGGAUGACCACUGAUGUGUUCCUGUCCUUUUCAGUCUGUCACUAAGCCCCGCAGAUCCUCCCUCAGAAACAUCUCUCAGCCCCAGCCUCUCCUCUUUCUCCCUGCUACCUUAGCGCCUGCCCUGAUCAGCUCACCCUGGGUAAGUGGUCAAUGGCUCAUUUGUCACCUUGUCUCCCUCCUCUUCUUCCUCCCUUCUCUGCUGCUACAAUAAUAUUUAGAAAAAGCAAGUCUUAUCAUGUCUCUUCCCUACUGGAAACAUAUUCAGCACUUUACUAUUACUCACACAAUUGAUUUUGGUGCUAUGCUUGCCCUUCCCAGACUGUUUCCGUCCUACUGCUAACACCCUCUGCUGCAGCCACUCCAGUCUCCUCUUUCCAGGUGCUCCCAUGUCUUUGUUCCCUGUGCUACGCCUGCUCCUUGGAAUACCCGCUCACCUCUUCUUGACUUUAUGAAGUGCUACUGAGCCUUCAAGACUUACGGACAAUGUCUCCUUUUUGUCCCCUGUUAUUCAAAUACUAAUCUAGGUGUUGCUAUGAAGGAAUUUUGCAGAUAAAGUCCCUAAUCAACUGACUUUAAAGAGGAGAGACAAUCCAGUGGACCUCACUUAAUCAGAAGGCCUUAAAAGCAAGACUGAGGCCUCACCAGGAGAGAAGAAAUUCCUCCUGUGUACAACAGCUUGAGCCCAUGCCCAGAGUCCGUCCUGCUUGUGCCUGUCCCUUCCUGACUGCUGCUCUAUGGAUUUUGGACUUGCUUAGCCAGCCCUCAU